GGUUCACCGUGUUGCCUAGGCUGGUCUCAAACCCCUGAGCUCAAGCAAUCUGCCCUCCUUGGCCUCCCAAAGUGUUGGAUUUACAGGCGUGAGCCACUGUGCCUGGAUAUGUUCCAGGGUACAUAUGCAGGAUGUGCAGGCUGGUUACAGAGGUCAACAUGUGCCAUGGUGAUUUGCUGCACAGAUCUUCCCAUCACCUAGGUAUUAAGCCCCGCAUUAGCUGUUCUUCCUGAUGCGCGCCCUUCCCAGCCCCCCCGACAGGCCCCAGUGUGUGUUGUUCCCCUCCCUGGGUCAAUGUGUUCUCAUUGUUCAACUCCCACUCAUAAGUGAAAACAUGCCAUGUUUGGUUUUUUGUUCCUGCAUUAGUUUGCUGAGGAUAAUGGCUUUGAAAUCUAAAGUAUGCUCUCUGAUCACGGUGAAAUUAAAUCAUAAAUCAACAAAAUAGAAAAAAAUUCCCACAUUGUAGUAAGUCAACUAAUACUUCCAUGCAACUCAUGGAUCAAAGGAGAAAUUAAAUGAUAAAUUAGAUUUACAAAUAAAUAAAAUGCUGUACUUAUGUUGCUAUUUCCUGAUUUUACAUUUUAUUUUUUUAUUUAUUUUUAAUUUUUAAUUUUUUUUUUUGAGACAGGGUCUCACUCUGUCACCUAGGCUGGAGUACAGUGGCAUGAUCUUGCCUCAGUGGAACCUCUGUCUCCUGGGUUCAAGCAAUUCUCCUACCUCAGCCUCCUAAGUGGCUGGGAUUACAGGUGGGCAUCACCAUGCCUGGCUCAUCUUUGUAUUUUUAGUAGAGACAGGGUUUCACCAUGUUGGCCAGGCUGGUCUCAAACUCCUGACCUCAGGUGAUCUGCCUGCCUUGGCCUCCCAAAGUGCUGGGAUUACAAGUGUGAGCCACCACACCUGGCCUGAUGUUACAUUUUAAAUAUUACCAAUUGACUGGCAAAUAUUGAAGAUGAGGAUUUAACUGUCAUAUAGGCACACACACAUUUAUCCUCUUUCCAUCCUCCCAACAAAGUUUUAGCAAGUUUUGCUUAAUUUACAUUUGGUGUUUUCAUUAAAAUGACUAAAUAAACAUUGUUCUCUGCUGAGUGAGGUACUGUACUAUGAUAACAUAUCCUCUGUUGUACAUUGUUUUGCUUUUCUUGUCUCCGCCCACCGCUUCCCUCUCUGUCUCACUCUCUUUCCAAAUACCAAUGAAGGCAAUGUAAGGAUAUAAUCAUGAAGAGGGCCUUCACCACGAACUAUGCUUUGCUCUGAUCUUGGCCCUCUAGCAUCCAGAACUGUGAAAAAUAAGUUGUUUAAGCCAUUAUGUCUACGGCAUUCUAUUAUACCAGCCCCAAACCACUGACACGGUGUCUUAAAUCUUUAUGUGUUUGAGGCCGGGCGCGGUGGCUCAUGCCUGUAAUCCCAGCACUUUCGGAAGCUGAGACGGAGGAUCAUUUGAGGUCAGGAGUUCAAGACCAGCCUGACCAACACAGUGAAACCCCGUUUCUACCAAAACCACAAAAAUUAGCUGGGUGUGGUGGCAGGCGCCUGUAGUCCCAGCUACCUGGAGGCAGAGGUUACAGUGAACCGAGAUUGUGCCACUGCACUCCAGCCUGGGCGACAGACCGUGUCUCAAAACAACAACAACAACAACAACAACAACAACAAAAAACAACAUUCAUGAUGUGAGGUAUUUUAUUAUCUUUGAUUAUGUGUUGGAUAUUAAAUUUUUUCUUUAAAAUUUUCUUAUUUUUAAAAAUUUCUUGUUUCCAGCAGGGCGCAGUGGCUCACGCCCCAGCACUUUGGGAGGCCGAGGUGGGUGGAUCACCUGAGGUCAGGAGUUUGAGACCAGCCUGGCCAACAUGGUGAAACCCCGUCUCUACUAAAAAUACAAAAAUUAACCAAGUGUGCUACUAAAAAUAUAAAAAUUAGCUGGGCGUGGUAGUGGGCACCUGUAGUCCCAGCUACUCGGGAGGCUGAGGCAGGAGAAUUGCUUGAACCUGGGAGGCAGAGGUUGCAGUGAGCUGAGAUCGCUUCACUGCACUCCAGCCUGGGUGACAGAGUGAGCCUCUGUCUCAAAUAAAUACAUAAAUAAAUAAAUAAAUAAAUAUUCUUGUUUCUUAUUGUUUCUUAUUUUUCUUUUAAUAAUUUUUUUUUUCUUACAAACCCUUGUGUCAAAG
rnacentral:lncRNA from 10 species